rnacentral:rRNA from 7 species
GUUGACCUCGGAUCAGGUAGGGAUACCCGCUGAACUUAAGCAUAUCAAUAAGCGGAGGAAAAGAAACCAACAGGGAUUA